GCUCAGAUUGAACGCUAGCGGGAUGCUUUACACAUGCAAGUCGAACGGCAGCACGAGAGAGCUUGCUCUCUUGGUGGCGAGUGGCGGACGGGUGAGUAAUAUAUCGGAACGUGCCCAGUAGCGGGGGAUAACUACUCGAAAGAGUGGCUAAUACCGCAUACGCCCUACGGGGGAAAGGGGGGGAUCGCAAGACCUCUCACUAUUGGAGCGGCCGAUAUCGGAUUAGCUAGUUGGUGGGGUAAAGGCUCACCAAGGCAACGAUCCGUAGCUGGUUUGAGAGGACGACCAGCCACACUGGGACUGAGACACGGCCCAGACUCCUACGGGAGGCAGCAGUGGGGAAUUUUGGACAAUGGGGGAAACCCUGAUCCAGCCAUCCCGCGUGUAUGAUGAAGGCCUUCGGGUUGUAAAGUACUUUUGGCAGAGAAGAAAAGGCAUCCCCU
rnacentral:rRNA from 1 species